rnacentral:rRNA from 1 species
GACGAACGCUGGCGGCGUGCUUAACACAUGCAAGUCGAACGGAGUGGCGAACGGGUGAGUAACACGUGGGUGAUCUGCCUCGCACUUCGGGAUAAGCUUGGGAAACCGGGUCUAAUACCGGAUAGUGCAAGAUGAGCUCGCGGACUAGCAGCUUGUUGAUGGGGUAAUGGCCUCCCAAGGCGUCGACGGUUAGCCUGCCUGAGAGGGUGUACGGGCUCAUUGGGACUGAGAUACGGCCCGGAGUCGUACGGGAGGUAGCAGUAGGGAAUAUUGCACAAUGUGCGGAAGCCUGAUGCAGCGACGCCGCGUGGGGGAUGAAGGCCUUCGGGUUGUAAACUCCUUUCGACAGGGACGCGGUACCUGUAUAAGAAGCACCGGCUAACUACGUGCCAGCAGCCGCGGUAAUUC